rnacentral:misc_RNA from 1 species
UGGUUCUGGCAUCGAUGAAGAACGCAGCGAAGUGCGAUAAGUAAUGUGAAUUGCAGAAUUUAGUGAAUCAUCGAAUCUUUGAACGCACAUUGCGCCCCUUGGUAUUCCGGGGGGCAUGCCUGUUCGAGCGUCAUUUCAACCCUCAAGCCUCGCUUGGUCUUGGGCUCUGCCGGAGACGGCUGGCCCUAAAAUCAGUGGCAGUGCCGGUGGGCUCUAUGCGUAGUAAUAAAUUAUCGCUAUUGAGAACCGCUGCGCGCGCGCCAGCAACCCCUAAUUUUCUAUGGUUGACCUCGGAUCAGGUAGGGAUACCCGCUGA